CCGAGUUUCAAUCAUUUAUCUUCUGCUAAGCUGGACAGCAUGUGUUUAUCCCUGGCCCUGUGACUCACCAACCCCAUUACCUAGGACAAGUUGCUGUCCGUAAGUGUUGUUUUCUAGGUAUAUUACUCAACAUCUAUUUCUAUCUGAAGACGAUGACAGUCCCUGUCUCAACACGUCUUGCUUGGACAGUUAAGUCCCCUACAUACAAACCUUCAAGUUGCAAACAUCCACAUCCAUCAAUGUCAGGCGUGAGUGAAACUGCAUCUCGCCCUCUGUCUCCUAACUGCUGAUGACCCUUCAGCCCUGCCAUCUCCCACCUCCUCUCCCUCCUCCAGUCUGUAACUCUUCUUGCCUGUUCGCUCGAUGCCAGCCCCUGUGUGCCAGCUACUGUACUCUACUACUGUACUUCAAGGUACUGUACUGGCAGAUUAGAAAACGUUUUCCUUGUUUGUUUUUUAUGUAUUUAUUUGUGUGAAAAGUAUUAUAAACCUAUCACAGGACAGUAUUGUAUAGCUGAACGUGUUAGUUGGGUACCUAGGUUA